GAGGAAUCAGAGGUUCAAACAGAGGCGGUGUCAGAGGAGGAUCUGGCUGAAGUGCCUCCAUCCCCAUCUGGCAGAUGUGCAGGGAGUCCUGCGUAACCUAUAAGCUGAUCUAUGAAACACUCUAAGCUGAGAUUCCACAUUAAACAUAAUGGAGAAAAACAUACCAGGGAAUCUGAGUCUGGAUCCAAAAAGGUUGGCCAAGACAGAAGCAAGGAUUCAGGGAGGGAGUGCUCAUCCUAAACCGGUGCCUGGAGGCUGUGAAGGGCUGGAUGUGGGCUAACAAACUGAAACUUAAUCGAGACAAGACGGAAGUA